rnacentral:miRNA from 1 species
UAUACCGAUCGAUGCUCGCUUU